AUCCACAGAUGAGUUAUUGAUCCGGAAAAGCCGAAUCUGUGAAUAUCUUUCUAACUUUACCCAAGUCCAGGAAAUGGAUCAUUUAGCGACGGCCUCGCUGCUGCUGAAACUGACUGCCAUUUUCAUCUUGUCUGACGCUUCAGAUCCAACAAACGUCACAGCAGAACCAGGACAGAACAUCACUCUGCCAUGUAGAGCUCCUUACAGUAAACCUGUUAUUGUCAUAGAGUGGAGCAGAACUGAUCUGGGAUCAGAAUAUGUUAUUCUCUACAGAAAUAACCACUCUGAUCUAGAAAACCAGCAUCCAUCCUUUAAGAACCGGGUAGAUCUGCAGGAGGCAGAGAUUAAGACAGGAGACGCCUCCCUGGUUCUGAAGAACGUCUCUACUGAUGACAGAGGAACAUAUAAGUGUCUAGUCGUUCAGACGGUAACAAACAGCAGGAGGGACACGGUUCUCUUGAUAAACCUGGAUGUAGUUCCUCCAGGGGAGUCUGAUGACGGAAGCAAAGGUGGACCUGGUCGAUGGUCAGUUGAAGUGGUGGCUGGAGUUGUUGUAGCUGUUGUCAUGAUUCUAAUUGUAAUUGCUAUUGUUGUUUGUAUCUGUAAAAAACGUAAAAAGAAAUCACAUCCAAACAGGCCUCUUGAAACAGUAGCUGGACCUGAAGCUUUAAAGCCUCUAAACUCAUCAGCUUAGUUGGUCCUCCUCAUCAGGACCAACCUCCUCCUCCUCAUCCUCAUCAUCCUCAUCAUCCUCUUCCUCCUCCUCCUCAACCUGCAGCAUCAAACCUGAACUCUGCCAUCAAGCGUUUCUGUCCUCCAGCAGAACCUCAGCUGGUCCAGAUCUGCUCUAAAAGCCGUUCCAGGCUGGACUUGUUGCCUCGUUAUUCUGUAAAGCUUUAGACUGAAUGUCAGGAUCCUGUUACAGUAUUGUUACUUUUAGAAGUUUCUGUAUUUAAACCUU